CUGGCAGCCACCUUCUAGAUUCUGAGGGCAAGGUCUUAGCAGCUGCUAUUUACCACCUAGAACCUUUUUACAUGUUACCUUUGGCAUGGACGACAGCUGACAGCAAUAAUGCCUGACAUUGAGGAGAAUGUGUUAAAAAGUACUUUGAAGAGUACUUUUUAAAUGCUUCAACCAAAGCUGACUCAAUUAUGCCCAGAAAUAUGACUUCUACCUGGACUGUUUUACUGAAACAAUAUUCCAG
rnacentral:lncRNA from 1 species